rnacentral:rRNA from 1 species
GUCUAUGGCCAGGCCACCCUAAACACUCCCUAUCUUGUUUGAUCUCAUAAGCUAAGCAGGGUCAGGCCUGGUUAGUACUUGGAUGGGAGAAAAUAAUGGGGCUUGGCAGGGUCAUAAUUU